rnacentral:rRNA from 1 species
UACGUAGGGUGCGAGCGUUAAUCGGAAUUACUGGGCGUAAAGUGUGCGCAGGCGGCCGAGCAAGUCGAGUGUGAAAGCCCCGGGCUUAACUUGGGAAUUGCGCUCGAAACUACUUGGCUGGAGUGUGGCAGAGGAAGGUGGAAUUCCAGGUGUAGCGGUGAAAUGCGUAGAUAUCGGGAGGAACACCGGUGGCGAAGGCGGCUUUCUGGACCACAACUGACGCUGAGGCGCGAGAGCUAGGGGAGCAAACAGG